GUAAGGAAUAUUGGUCAAUGGGGGCAACCCUGAACCAGCCAUGCCGCGUGAAGGAUGAAGGCGUUAUGCGUUGUAAACUUCUUUUGUAUGGGAAGAAUGACAGGGAUUCAUCCUUGGAGAGACGGUACCAUACGAAUAAGCACCGGCUAACUCCGUGCCAGCAGCCGCGGUAAUACGGAGGGUGCAAGCGUUAUCCGGAAUCACUGGGUUUAAAGGGUACGUAGGCGGUUAAUUAAGUCAGUAGUGAAAGACUGUCGCUCAACGGCGGAUGAGCUAUUGAUACUGGUUAACUUGAAUCAGGUUAGAGUUGGCGGAAUGGGUCAUGUAGCGGUGAAAUGCUUAGAUAUGACUAGGAACACCGAUAGCGAAGGCAGCUGACUGAGCCUUGAUUGACGCUGAGGUACGAAAGUGUGGGUAGCGAACAGGAUUAGAUACCCGGGUAGUCC
rnacentral:rRNA from 1 species